AGCGGAGGAGAGCGAGAUCGGCUCCGGGAAGCUCGGAGGGAGCCCGAGGCAGGUCCCACGCAGCCUGAGAGGAGUUUGGGGGCUCCCCGAGGCACCCCCCGAAGGCGGCGUGCAGGGAUCAGCAGGGGCUGGCGCUGCCCGGGGCCGCCCGGCUGGGUCAGGGCUCGGGAAGGGAGCAGCAGGAGCGGGGCUCGCUGCGCUUCUCGCAGCCCUCGUUGGCAGCCCGCGGGGGAAGAGGAAGCUGCAGGGCCCGGGCCUGAGGGCUGACGAUGAGCAGAAGCCGUCCAGCGGGAUCGCUUGACAGCGCCUGCAAUGCGCGGUGACGAACAGAGUCGCUUCUGUACGUAAGAAGUUGGGAAUAAGCAGCGGGUUGUGCUUCAAAAAGGCAAAGCAAAUCGGCGGAACUUCAGUGCCGUCACAGGCCUCCCUCUGGCAGAAACACCUCCUACGCGCUUUCCCCCCCCAAAAAAAGAAAAAGGAAUUCUGGCCUGUCUUGCUACGCUCACAGCCGCUAUAAUGGCACAGAGUCCUCGGUUAAAAGUUUGCAAAAGAGAGCAUGUGAAUUUCCUUCUGGGCUAAUAAUCCUGCAUUGACUUUAACUCGCAUGUUAUUGACAUCAGUUAGCCUGCGAUCAAGCGUACACGUGAAUGUUUUCAGGGCUGAGAUAAUCAUAGAAUCAUAGAAUAUCCUGAGUUGGAAGGGACCCUAAAGGAUCAUCAAGUCCAAUAAAUCUUGCUAUUUUGCACAGCUCCUUCACUUCUUAGAUUCAGCUAUAAAUAAAUGCAUCCCUGAAACACUUGGUAUUUCACAGAUACUGUCAUCUUCAUAUAAACAUCAUCCAUGAAUAUAAGCAACUCUAACAGUGGGCACUGGAAAGCAUACAAAGGAAGAGUACAAAGAUAGGAAGGACAUCAUCUGAUCCCUUAAUACCCCAUAUGCAACCCACUGUGGCAUUAGCGCUUUCUGAAUCAGAAGUGGUGUCUUAUAUUUAACACGGUCCUCAGUGCAUUUUUAUUCCAUGAAUUUGCACAACCAGUUAUGUAUUCGUUUACUUUUAAGUCCACGUUGGCUUUUGGCAUCUGCCGUGUACUGCAGGAAGGAGGUCCUCACUCCGUACAACUUGACUGCCUUGUGUGAAAUGUUUUUCGUGUUUGCUAUCUGUCUUAGUCGAUAAAAGUUCCUAUCAAGUCAUCUUUUUUCUUCAGUUCGUGAUUUUAUAUCUUUCCCCAGGCUUGUGAGUCUUGUGUUUUCCAAGCAGAGGAGUUUUAGUCUAUCUGGUAUUUUCCCAUGGUACAGUUCCUCUCUUUAUUCUGUACUUUGUGAACACUACUAUUGGCUUUUGCUGAUGAGGAAACAAGGAGUUACGCACAGUACUCAAGACAGGAGCAGAUGGAUUUAUGCUGAGCCAAAAUAAUGGUUUUUAUUUUUUUUUUCCCCAGUGUACUUUAUGGUUAUUUACCAUAAAUUUGACCUGCAUAUGCAUUUAUGAGGCUGCAGAUUUGCUCAGCUAGAUUUAUUUUUUCUGCCCUCAGUAACUUAGCAUCAACAGCAUACUCCACCACCUUACUAUUUAUUUGCCUUCAGAUCAUUUAUCAUGAAGUAAUUAGCUUUUAAUUCAAUGGUACAUUUGUGCAAAAACACCCUGAAGAAAUGUCUUCACAGCUCAUUCUAUGGGAGAAUGUUUUUUUCUCUCGUAGCAUCCCUGUUGCCCAACAAUACUUGUCUUAGCGUGUUCAUUUGUAAAAGGAUACGACUAUUAAUAGAUCCCCAUCCUGAGCAAUUUACAAUCUAAUCAUGAACAAUUUCAGUAUAAGGAAAAGUUAGAUGCUGUCUUACUCAAGCCAUCAUUAGGAGCAUUAACUAAAGUUCUUCUUGGGAGAGAGAAAUGUUAAGGGUAAAGAAGUACCUUUUCAUUUGUCCACUGGUAGGCCAAUAUUCCUCGAAUACAGAAAAUGUUGCAGUAAAAGACAAAGUAUUUAAGUUGUAGUGAAGACAUUAAUUUCAUGUAAUUUUUAAUUUUUAUUUUUUUUUGUCAUUUUACAGUUUCACCAACAAAAGAAAAUAGUGUAGCGAUUCUGGUUUAUUCUGAAGUGAGAAGCCGAUGUAUUUGUCAUGCCUAAGGGUGAGAAGAGAGAUUCAGUUGCAUUCCACAUCAAGCAAAGCAGUCAGGUUCAAAGGACUGGACAGAAAGAACCAGACUCCUUUCUCCUUUAUGCAGUUCUCUUAACACAUGGAUUAUUUUAUCCUGCUUUCCAGAUUGCCUGAUCGUUCUCAACCAGCUGUGGUGAUCAAACAAGUCUGCUGUCCCUACACAGCACGAAAUGUGCAGAUGCUGGGUGUGUUACUGCUGGAGCCAAAAAAAAACACACCGUAAAACUACAGGAUCAUAGUACUCAGCAGCACAAUGGUUAAUGUAGAUUGAUCAUGAGUGGUAUCCCAAAGGUGGACUUGGGGGAAUGUCAUUUCCUCUAAUGAAUCAGCAGUAGGGAGGGCGUAAGUGCCCUUCCCUUUUAGUUCCUGUAUGUUAAUCUCUUCAGAGCCAGCCUGCCACUGCUCAGAUGUCAGAUGCUGUUUAUAACUACGUUGGGAAUGUAACAGAACAAAAGAGCAUCAUUAAUUUCUCUUGAGACUUUAUAUGCUCAUUUUGGGUUUGCUGUUUUUUUCCCUGCUGCAACUGAUUCAAAUAUUGUACCAGCAGUUUUGCAAGGUGGCCUGAAAUGUCAUCCUGUCUAUGAAUUUGUCCAGCUGAGCUUUGAAUCUGUGACCAAAUUGUGUUCAGUUGCAAGCAUUUCCACAGUGCAGGUAUUCGGUGUCUCUGUGAGUAUCCUUGGCUUUUCUUGAACCUGCUGCUUUUAAUGGCACCCAAUUCCAGCAUCGGAGGAGAAGUGAGAAGCACACAUUUUUCUGCUGUGUCAAUCAACUAUGCCUGCAUUGCUCUAAUCUUUUGGCAAGGAUUUUUAUCUCCUAUGAAGCUGUCUAAAACUGUCAGAUCACUUCAUGCAGGCCACUGUACACCAUUAAAUAUAUCAGGAGUGACAUUUUCCCAAGUGCAGAGGUCACCACCGCACUUGUCCAUUGCUUAAACUUUACUGACACCAUAAUUUAAGGCCUUCAUUCAAAUUUUCGUAACAACUUCAGAUGACUGGAAAACCACAAACUUCAUUCAUUUCAGUAAUCGUUUGUUCAGUAAUAUGUAUAUUUGGGAAAAAUAUAUAUAAAUGCUUUUUUUUUUUUUUAUUUUGGUUUGAUAACUUUGUUAACUGAAAAAGAGCUAUUUGAUUUUGCCUUGUUGAUUCCUUUCUCUCAUUUUUGUACUUUUAAACGGUAGUGCACCCACGAUGUGAAUAGAAAUAAACUGCAAAAGCACUGGAAUUGCACCUGCUUGGAAAGGGCUCAGACUGAGCCUAAGGACACAGGAGUACUCAGAGGGAAGUGAAUGACUUCCUCGCCCUGUAAGCACUUCCUGGUUCGUAGAGAAUAACUCCUGUCUCUAAUAACCUCCUGGCGUUGCUGCCUUGGGAAUGUGGUAGCAGUUAUGCUGUCUGAAGCACUCGGGGGAGCAGCUGAAACUCCAUCCAGUGCCUGCCUCGCUGCUUUGCCCAGCUCAUCAGUAAAGGAGGGAAAGAAGCUCCCGUGCAACACUUUUCACUGCCACAGUACUUGAGCCAGUUUGGUUUUGAGGAAUUUCUUAAUAGCUGGACUUCAUAGCUUGAAGUUUUGGAUGUAUUUUUCUAUCCACACCUUAAAAAUAAUAAUAAAAAAAAAAAUGCAGGAAAAUGCUGAAGUUGCAAUUUAAUGUACCUAUGUAAUAGUUGAUAUAGCCUCUAAAAAUUCUUCAUUUGUAUAGAUUUCCUCUAAUUUUUGAGUGUGAAGUUUUCAAAAAUCCUGCCUCUUUAUUACCAGAAAUGUGGUUCCUAACAUUACUUCCUGUUCUUAUCAGUAUAUAGACAGAACAAUAGAGUCUUGGCGUAGUUUAGCAUUCUAUGAAAACUAAUAUACUUUUGCCAAAAGAAAGGAAAUAUCUGUCUUGUUCCGUUCCUGCAGGUGGAGUAAGCAGACCUUUCGGGAGUCACUUAUUGCUGUAAGGAAGUUGUUACAGAAUGGCAUUAUAGCAGAGACUACAGGAGUAUUUGCUGAAAGUUCACUGUAACUUGAAGGCUGGUAGGCUCACUUAAAAUGUUUAUAUAUCCUGUUUAUAUAUCAGUGUUGAAGAAAGAAAGUUAUUUCACAUCAAUGUAUUUUUUUUUAUUAUUAUUUAUUAAUCGCAAAGCUUAAACGUAAGUUAGAUAAUUAAAAUCAGUCUGUUUAGAUUUCUUUCCUAGACAACACUGUGAUCCUCUCCAUUGAAAAGUUUUGUACAAAUUCACCAGUGCUAAGAGAAAUGUUAUCGUUGGUCCCACAAUAACCAAAAGGUACACACGCAGUACGGGUUUGAUUUGAGUGUUGUGAUUCCAGCACCCGGGUACUUGUUGAAAAAAUAAAACAUACAAAUAUGGCACCACCUGAUUCUUGUUUGUCUUCAUGCUCGAGUCCUCCAACCCUACAGAGAAGUUUUCCUAGUAACUUUUUUGUA